GGCGGAAUGGCCGAGUGGUCUAAGGCGUCAGACUCAAGGUUUCUGAUCUCCGUAUGGAGGCGUGGGUUCAAAUCCCACUUCCGUCA
rnacentral:ncRNA from 14 species